rnacentral:rRNA from 1 species
ACAAGCGGUGGAGUAUGUGGUUUAAUUCGAUGCAACGCGAAGAACCUUACCUGGUCUUGACAUCCCGGAGACCCUUAGGAAACUAGGGGGUGCUUCCAUCUGGAAGAAUCUGGAGACAGGUGCUGCAUGGCUGUCGUCAGCUCGUGUCGUGAGAUGUUGGGUUAAGUCCCGCAACGAGCGCAACCCUUGCCUUUAGUUGCCAGCAGUUCGGCUGGGCACUCUAAAGGGACUGCCGGUGUUAAACCGGAGGAAGGUGGGGAUGACGUCAAGUCCUCAUGGCCUUUAUGACCAGGGCUACACACGUACUACAAUGGCCGAUACAAAGGGCAGCGACACUGCGAGGUGAAGCCAAUCCCGUAAAAUCGGUCUCAGUCCGGAUUGGAGUCUGCAACUCGACUCCAUGAGGUUGGAAUCGCUAGUAAUCGUGGAUCAGCAUGCCACGGUGAAUACGUUCCCGGGCCUU